rnacentral:rRNA from 1 species
GUGAGGAAUUUUGCGCAAUGGGGGCAACCCUGACGCAGCGACGCCGCGUGGAGGACGAAGUCUUUCGGGAUGUAAACUCCUGUCAGUGGGGACGAUAAUGACGGUACCCACAGAGGAAGCACCGGCUAACUCCGUGCCAGCAGCCGCGGUAAGACGGAGGGUGCAAGCGUUGUUCGGAAUUACUGGGCGUAAAGCGUACGUAGGCGGCAAGUUAAGUUCAAUGUUAAAGCCCACGGCUCAACCGAGGAGAUGCAUUGAAUACUGGCUAGCUAGAGGGUGUUAGAGGAAGACGGAAUUCCCAGUGUAGCGGUGAAAUGCGUAGAUAUUGGGAGGAACAUCGGUAGCGAAAGCGGUCUUCUGGGACACACCUGACGCUGAGGUACGAAAGCGUGGGGAGCAAACGGGAUUAGAAACCCUUGUAGUCC